rnacentral:rRNA from 1 species
GAUGAACGCUGGCGGCGUGCCUAAUACAUGCAAGUCGAGCGAACGGACGAGAAGCUUGCUUCUCUGAUGUUAGCGGCGGACGGGUGAGUAACACGUGGAUAACCUACCUAUAAGACUGGGAUAACUUCGGGAAACCGGAGCUAAUUCCGGAUAAUAUUUUGAACCGCAUGGUUCAAAAGUGAAAGACGGUCUUGCUGUCACUUAUAGAUGGAUCCGCGCUGCAUUAGCUAGUUGGUAAGGUAACGGCUUACCAAGGCAACGAUGCAUAGCCGACCUGAGAGGGUGAUCGGCCACACUGGAACUGAGACACGGUCCAGACUCCUACGGGAGGCAGCAGUAGGGAAUCUUCCGCAAAGGGCGAAAGCCUGACGGAGCAACGCCGCGUGAGUGAUGAAGGUCUUCGGAUCGUAAAACUCUGUUAUUAGGGAAGAACAUAUGUGUAAGUAACUGUGCACAUCUUGACGGUACCUAAUCAGAAAGCCACGGCUAACUACGUG